CUACGGGCCGCAGCAGUGAGGAAUAUUGCACAAUGGGGGGAACCCUGAUGCAGCAACGCCGCGUGGAGGAUGACGCAUUUCGGUGUGUAAACUCCUUUUAUAUGUCAAGAAAAUGACGGUAGCAUAUGAAUAAGCACCGGCUAACUCCGUGCCAGCAGCCGCGGUAAUACGGAGGGUGCAAGCGUUACUCGGAAUCACUGGGCGUAAAGGACGCGUAGGCGGGCUUGUAAGUCAGGUGUGAAAUCCUACAGCUUAACUGUAGAACUGCACUUGAAACUACGAGCCUAGAGUAUGGGAGGGGCAGAUGGAAUUAGUGGUGUAGGGGUAAAAUCCGUAGAUAUCACUAGGAAUACCUAAAGCGAAGGCGAUCUGCUGGAACAUAACUGACGCUAAGGCGUGAAAGCGUGGGGAGCAAACAGGAUUAGAUACCCUCGUAGUC
rnacentral:rRNA from 1 species